CAAUGAAGAAAGCAUGGUAAUAUGCACAAAAUUUGAAUUGGGUCUCUAGGUCUGUCCUCUCUGAUGUCAUUUGGCUUUAUUUGGGGGCAUGGUUCCGCAGCAAAACA